ACUUAUAAUCCUGUCGUAGGACUUUUGAUUUGAAAUCAGAAUGUUUGUUUUUGAUAACAAUAUGAGUU
rnacentral:tRNA from 2 species